GCACAAAUUUUCAAUCAAAUUCUUUUUAAUAUUCCAAAAAUAAUUUGAAAUAUAAUUGUUAAAUGCGUGUUUUUUCAUAUAUAAAAGUGAUGUCUGACCAAAAUAUCUGCGCGUGUUUGUAAAGUCUCUGCUUAUACGAUUCGCCCAUCGUACAUGUGCUAUACCAUGCCUGACUUGUGUGACUGGGCUCGUCAACUGGAUUUUGAUCUGUGCUGGUGAACAUGGCAACGUAUACCAAUCAGGAAUACGCCGACGUCCUAAUGGUAAUUGUGCAUAAAGGAUUACCCUCGUAACAGAGUCAGAGACUGGGAAUGACAUAUUGGCCAAUAGUCCGAUGUACGUUGCGUUAGAAACCCAGCAUUUAUUAAACUGUACAAAACAAUCAACAAGUUAAUACGGCGGCCGUCAAUUAAAUGAUAAACUCGAGCUUCUAAACCUGUUAAGGUUGCACAAAUGUGAGUAAAGGGCGUUUUUAAAACCUUAAGGACUAUAAGCACAGCAACGUCGAAUUUGCCGAUGGUCAAAACCAUUCUAUUGUAAUGCAGCACCAGAAUCUAGCACAAAAAUGUUCCGAAAUAACCUAACUGAUGCCUGAUCAGAAAACGUGACACCAAAUCGUUCGAGUUGAAAUUGAUGCAGGGUUUCGGUGUAUUAGAUGUGCGAAUGAUCUUCGCAACCAUGUCUUGUUGCGACCUGAAUUGGCACACCCUUCUGUGCAGCAAAAUGUAUGCAUCUAAGUGAAUUAAAGCAUCUCGACAGCGGCGAAAAUCUGCAAUCUCAACACAGCCAGUAGGAAACUGCACCUUACAAUUACAAUUCAAGAAGCGCGAGCAAUAAAGAAAAACCAAGACAGCUGAGCUUCUCAAGUAUGCUCUCCCCGAUAUUUUGCUCAAUUCAUAAGAGAGGCGAUACUAUAAUUUGCGCCAAUUAUAGCAGAAUAAGUCUUCUGAACAUUCCAUAUAGUGUAAGUCCAUCAGAGCAUCGUCAAUGAACUUACUGGGCAUAUCAGUGUGGCUUCUUUCCUCGAAAAUCAAACGUCAGCCAGAUACUUUAUAAGUAGAGUUUCUUUAUAGAAUUUCUUUAUA